rnacentral:rRNA from 1 species
UGAACGCUGGCGGCGUGCCUAAUACAUGCAAGUCGAGCGAACAGACGAGGAGCUUGCUCCUCUGACGUUAGCGGCGGACGGGUGAGUAACACGUGGAUAACCUACCUAUAAGACUGGGAUAACUUCGGGAAACCGGAGCUAAUACCGGAUAAUAUAUUGAACCGCAUGGUUCAAUAGUGAAAGACGGUUUUGCUGUCACUUAUAGAUGGAUCCGCGCCGCAUUAGCUAGUUGGUAAGGUAACGGCUUACCAAGGCGACGAUGCGUAGCCGACCUGAGAGGGUGAUCGGCCACACUGGAACUGAGACACGGUCCAGACUCCUACGGGAGGCAGCAGUAGGGAAUCUUCCGCAAUGGGCGAAAGCCUGACGGGGCAACGCCGCGUGAGUGAUGAAGGUCUUCGGAUCGUAAAACUCUGUUAUUAGGGAAGAACAAAUGUGUAAGUAACUAUGCACGUCUUGACGGUACCUAAUCAGAAAGCCACGGCUAACUACGUG